rnacentral:hammerhead_ribozyme from 1 species
GCACUGCUGAGGAGCCCAACAAUAAGACGAAACGGCCGUCCAGUGC